AAAAGCAGUUAUAAUAAAAUGUAUUCUGUGAUUUAAUAAAAUUUCAUAAAUAUAAAAACCAUUUAAAAAAGGGAUGUCCUAAAAGAAAAAAAAAGGGGGGGGAGUUCCUUUUGUGACUCAAGGAAUUAAGAAUCCCAGUAAUUUACAUGAGGAUACAAGUUCGAUCCCUGUCCUCACUCAGUGGAUUAAGGAUCUGGCAUUGCCGUGAGCUGCAGCAUAGGUUGCAGAUAUGGCUCAGAUCCCACGCUGCUGUGGCUGUGGCAUAGGCCUCAGCUGCAGCUCCAAUUAGACCCCUAGCCUGGGAACUUCCACAUGCUGUGGGUGUGGCCCUAAAAAGAAAAAAAAAAUAAAAGAAGUGAUGCCCUUCCCUGAAUGUCUCUUGUCUCUUCUGUCUUCAGGUUCUUGGUCCUGCUGUUACCCUGAUGCCACCAUCUUCCUCCUCGACUUUCCCCAGUCCAUCUUCCAAAGAAAUGGAAUUCUAGCCUGUAUCGAUACAGCUGGCACACCAGGAAAGCCUGGUUUUCCUAGGAAAACACAACAGAAGCUGCUGCAGAUGUGGGUUCCUGAGUCCACUCUGGGACCAACUCCACAGACAUCUCUGGUGGCAGUAGGGGGACUUCUGAGAAUGCUUCAGGCCCAGACACCUUCCAGCAAGGGAUGGUGA
rnacentral:lncRNA from 1 species